GGAUUCCCUAGUAACGGCGAGUGAAGCGGAUGAGCUCAAAUUUGAAAGCUGGCACCUUUGGUCCGCAUUGUAACUCGAGAAGUAGUUUCUGUGCCGGAACCAUGUACAAGUUCCUUGGAAUAGGACAUCAGAGAGGGUGAGAAUCCCGUACUUGACAUGGACCCCGGUGCUUUGUGAUCUGCUCUCUAUGAGUCGAGUUGUUUGGGAAUGCAGCUCAAAAUGGGUGGUAAAUUCCAUCUAAAGCUAAAUAUUGGGGAGAGACCGAUAGCGAACAAGUACCGUGAGGGAAAGAUGAAAAGCACUUUGGAAAGAGAGUUAAACAGUACGUGAAAUUGUCAAAAGGGAAGCGCUUGAGGUUAGACAUGCAUGCAGUAUUCAACCUUUCUUUUGGGAUUGGCGUAUUUGCUGUUGUGCAGGCCAGCAUCGGUUUUGUCUGCUGGAUAAUAGUAGGAGAAAUGUGGCAUCUUCGGAUGUGUUAUAGUCUCGUAUUGGAUACAGUGGAUGGGACCGAGGACCGCAGUGCUCGGUAAGGCGGCUCUUCGGAGACCUUCGCACUUA
rnacentral:rRNA from 1 species